rnacentral:rRNA from 1 species
UUUUUUAGAAAUAGCCCCCCUUUCCCCGUUUCCCCCCCCUUUCACCGCCCAUUUGAAACAUGUGUAAACCCCGGGACAAAAGGCCCAAGAAAAUUAAAUCAUCCCCCACCUUCCCCCCCUUUUUACCCGGGGGUUCUCUUAAAAUGCCCAACUAAAACGUGGGAAAAAAAAAAAAAGGGGGUCCCCCUUUUGGGAUUUAACCCAAAAAUCUCCAAAACAAAU